rnacentral:rRNA from 10 species
GGGUAACGGGGAAUUUUGGUUCGAUUCCGGAGAGGCAGCCUGAGAAACGGCUACCACAUCCACGGGAGGCAGCAGGUGCGUAAAUUACUCAAUGUUGAUAAAACGAAGUAGUAACAAGAGAUAACGAUUCGCCAAA